CGCCCGCUCAGAAACUCAAAUGAAUUCGAGGGGGCCCGCACAAGCGGUGGAGCAUGUGGUUUAAUUCGAAGCAACGCGAAGAACCUUACCAGGCCUUGACAUGCAGAGAACUUUCCAGAGAUGGAUUGGUGCCUUCGGGAACUCUGACACAGGUGCUGCAUGGCUGUCGUCAGCUCGUGUCGUGAGGUGUCGGGUUAAGUCCCAUAACGAGCGCAACCCCUACCUUUAGUUGCCAUCAGGUUAAGCUGGGGACUCUAAAGGAACUGCCUACGCAAGUAGUGAGGAAGGCGGGGAUGACGUCAAAUCAGCACGGCCCUUACGUCCAGGGCUACACACGUGCUACAAUGGCCGAUACAGAGGGCAGCUACCUGGUGACAGGAUGCAAAUCUCCAAAGUCGGUCUCAGUUCGGAUCGGAGUCUGCAACCCGACUCCGUGAAGUUGGAUUCGCUAGUAAUCGCGCAUCAGCCAUGGCGCGGUGAAUACGUUCCCGGGCCUU
rnacentral:rRNA from 1 species